rnacentral:tRNA from 1 species
GGCUCGGUAGCUUAGUUGGUAAAGCACUUAAGGGUAAAGCGUAUAAGGGUCGUGAGUUCAAAUCUCACCUGAGCUG